UAGAGGGUAGGUGUGACUGGGGUAGAAGGUGGAGGUGACUGGGGUAGAGGGUAAAGGUGACUGGGGUAGAGGGUAAAGGUGACUGGGGUAGAAAGUAAAGGUGACUGGGGUAGAGGGUAAAGGUGACUGGGGUAGAGGGUAAAGGUGACUGGGGUAGAGGGUAAAGGUGACUGGGGUAGAAGGUAAAGGUGACUGGGGUAGAAGGUAAAGGUGACUGGGGUAGAAGAUAAAGGUGACUGGGGUAGAGGGUAAAGGUGACUGGGGUAGAGGGUAAAGGUGACUGGGGUAGAGGUGACUGGGUAGAGGCUAGAGAUGACUGGGGUUGAGGGUAAAGGUGACUGGGGUUGAGGGUAAAGGUGACUGGGGUAGAGGGUAAAGGUGACUGGGGUAGAGGGUAAAGGUGACUGGGGUAGAGGGUAAAGGUGACUGGGGUAGAGGGUAAAGGUGACUGGGGUAGAGGGUAAAGGUGACUGGGGUAGAGGGUAAAGGUGACUGGGGUAGAGGGUAAAGGUGACUGGGGUAGAGGGUAAAGGUGACUGGGAUAGAGGUGACUGGGUAGAGGCUAGAGAUGACUGGGGUUGAGGGUAAAGGUGACUGGGGUUGAGGGUAAAGGUGACUGGGGUAGAGGGUAAAGGUGACUGGGGUAGAGGGUAAAGGUGACUGGGGUAGAGAGUACAGGUGACUGGGGUAGAGGGUAAAGGUGACUGGGGUUGAGGGUACAGGUGACUGGGGUAGAGGGUAAAGGUGACUGGGGUAGAAGGUAAAGGUGACUGGAGUAGAGGGUACAGGUGACUGGGGUAAAGGUGACUGGGGUAGAAGGUAAAGGUGACUGGGGUAGAGGGUAAAGGUGACUGGGGUAGAGGUGACUGGGUAGAGGCUAGAGAUGACUGGGGUUGAGGGUAAAGGUGACUGGGGUUGAGGGUAAAGGUGACUGGGGUAGAGGGUAAAGGUGACUGGGGUAGAGGGUAAAGGUGACUGGGGUAGAGGGUAAAGGUGACUGGGGUAGAGGGUAAAGGUGACUGGGGUAGAGGGUAAAGGUGACUGGGGUAGAAGGUAAAGGUGACUGGGGUAGGGUGGACGGCUUCUCUCUGGGGUAUAAAAGAGUCUGCCUUUACGUGCAUCUGAAAUGGAACUCUAUUCACUAUAUAGUACACUACUGUUGACCAGGCCCCUAUAUAGUGCACUAUAUUUUUACCAUAACCCCAUUGGGUACUGGUCAAAAGUAGUGCACUAUAAAAGGAAUAGGGUGCCAUGUAAUGUGUGUG